rnacentral:rRNA from 1 species
UCUGGUGCUGAUGACUUAUAGGGCUACACCCGUUUCCAUUCCGAACACGAAGGUUAAGCCUAUAGGUGCCGAUGAUACUGCAGGGGCAGCUCUGUGGGAAAGCAGGUUGACGCCAGAU